AUUGAACGCUGGCGGCAGGCCUAACACACGCAAGUCGAGCGGAUGAAGGGAGCUUGCUCCUGGAUUCAGCGGCGGACGGGUGAGUAAUGCCUAGGAAUCUGCCUGGUAGUGGGGGAUAACGUCCGGAAACGGGCGCUAAUACCGCAUACGUCCUGAGGGAGAAAGUGGGGGAUCUUCGGACCUCACGCUAUCAGAUGAGCCUAGGUCGGAUUAGCUAGUUGGUGGGGUAAAGGCCUACCAAGGCGACGAUCCGUAACUGGUCUGAGAGGAUGAUCAGUCACACUGGAACUGAGACACGGUCCAGACUCCUACGGGAGGCAGCAGUGGGGAAUAUUGGAUAAUGGGCGAAAGCCUGAUCCAGCCAUGCCGCGUGUGUGAAGAAGGUCUUCGGAUUGUAAAGCACUUUAAGUUGGGAGGAAGGGCAGUAAGUUAAUACCUUGCUGUUUUGACGUUACCAACAGAAUAAGCACCGGCUAACUUCGUG
rnacentral:rRNA from 1 species